rnacentral:rRNA from 1 species
GACAACUCUAGAGAUAGAGCCUUCCCCUUCGGGGGACAAAGUGACAGGUGGUGCAUGGUUGUCGUCAGCUCGUGUCGUGAGAUGUUGGGUUAAGUCCCGCAACGAGCGCAACCCUUAAGCUUAGUUGCCAGCAUUAAGUUGGGCACUCUAAGUUGACUGCCGGUGACAAACCGGAGGAAGGUGGGGAUGACGUCAAAUCAUCAUGCCCCUUAUGAUUUGGGCUACACACGUGCUACAAUGGACAAUACAAAGGGCAGCUGAACCGCGAGGUCAUGCAAAUCCCAUAAAGUUGUUCUCAGUUCGGAUUGUAGUCUGCAACUCGACUACAUGAAGCUGGAAUCGCUAGUAAUCGUAGAUCAGCAUGCUACGGUGAAUACGUUCCCGGGUCUUGUACACACCGCCCGUCACACCACGAGAGUUUGUAACACCCGAAGCCGGUGGAGUAACCAUUUAUGGAGCUAGCCGUCGAAGGUGGGACAAAUGAUUGGGGUGAAGUCGUAACAAGGUAGCCGUAUCGGAAGGUGCGGC